UUGAGGUUUUUUUAAAAAAAGAUUUUUUCUUUAUUAAUAAUUUUUGGGGCCCUCAUGCCACUUUGCAUCUUUUUAUUUGGAAUUUAGUAAAAAAAAUACUCUUCACGCGCCCCUAGCGUUUGUAUAGCAGGCGGUAUGCCAUGUAGGCAAAAAAGGCCCAAUUGGAACAAAAUUCGGGGGAUUAAGCGUCUGAUAGGUACAGGUCAUAGUUGAGGGGUCUAAGUGAAUUUUCAAAACAAGUUUGACUGCCUGUCGAUGACUUUGGCCUAAAAAGAAUCAGUAUAACUAUGCCUUAUGGUAGUAGGCUUGUUAGACCUCAUUUAGAGUUUGGAAUUGCCUUAAUUAUGUGUUUGCCAAAUUUGAUUUUUGUCUUUUCAUUUGAAAGGUGUGCGAAUUAGGCUAAUUAUGAAUAUGGGAUUAUGACGAUAAUAGUACUGAUUUUGGAACUACCAUUAAGAGAUUGAACUUGCUAGUAUUUGUUGCUUGUAGAAGUCACAUGAACAUUACACAAGUGUGUAGGGAAGGAGAACUUAAUAAGAACCAAACACUUUGUUUUUAGGUAGAUCAACAGCAGCACACUCGCUAAGCUUUAAUUACAUUGUUCGAAUCAAGCACCUUAAUUUAAGGUUGGUUAGUUAAUAAAUUAUAUUCCCAGCUUUUGUCGUCUAAUGUACGUUUAGUUAUAUGUUACUUUACUGGACAUAAAAGUAGUCGAUCUUGACUUCACAAGAUGCAAAUCUACUUGUAUAUUCCUCUCCAAUAGUAAUAUUAAUUGUACUUUAAGGAUGUCCUUGUGUUAAUCUAGUUUAUAUGUUAGUUUUUUUUUUCCCAUUUAUUAAUGGCUAUAUUUGUACUCGCUGAUUUUUAGUUUUCUUCUGGAGUAGUGUUUAGGGAUAAGGAGUGCGGUUAUGUGGUCGCUUAAAUUACAAAGACUUCUUUAUGAUCUUGAAAAUAAUCUUAUAGGUAGUUUAUUGUUCUUGGUGUUUUGAUAAUCUUUACACGUACUUUGGUGGAAAAUUAGUUAAAGUAUGGCUUCCCUUGGACCAUCUUAGAAUUGUUAUAUGUUGACAACCUACUUAUUUGAGAGUUUUAGAUUGCUUCUCUGUAAUUUACUACGAAUAUAGCAUAGGAAUAUAUACCAUUUGUAACAAGUCAUUCUUAGUAAUAUGCCAACAAGUUUGAAAAAAAAUUGUCGUUCAUGCCAUCUGGAACUGCUGCAAAAUGAGGGCUCACAGAGAACACCACAGUUUUUAGCUCUUUUAAGGUAGGGUCUUAUUGGAGAAUGUUAUUCUGAUUAUCAGUCACCAACUUGGUAAUAUAGUUGAGGAAUUCUUCUGGAACAACCUCCUCUUUUCCAGUAAAAAUCCCUUGAAAAUGGUCACAAGCUGCAACAGCUAUAUCACUAUCAACCUGUACCCAUUCACCUUCAUCAUUCUUGACUUUAUGUAUGAAUAACUUUCUCCUUUUUCCUCGAUUAAUGCAUGAAAGUGUCUAGAAUUAGCAUCACCAUCCUUAAACCCUUGAAGUUGAGCUUUUUGCUUGAGAAUAAACUGUUCAAGUUUCAGAAAUCUAAUGUAUUCAGCAUUCAAAUGAUGAAAAUUGAUCCUAUUAUGGUUAGAGUUAUUAAAAAUUAGCUCAGCUUCAACAUUUUUAACCUUCUCUUCAUACGCCCUAACUUUAGCGUAAGUGUCACCAAAUUCAUUCUUGGGUCAAUGAAUAAGAGUGUUGUCCAGACUUUUUAUUUUCUGACGAAAAGACCACAUAGGAUCUCCCUCACAAGGCUUGUUCCAUAAAUUCUCAACACUUUUUAGGAAAGUCUUGUUCUCCACCCAACAAUUGAACAAUUUGAAAUAGUUGAUGUGAUUUUCUUGUCUAUCCUACAUUUCAAAAAAAAUGGGACAAUGUUCUGAACCCACAGAUGAAAGAUGAGUAUUGGUAGUGAGGGGCAUAUUCUCUAGACAACCAUAUGUGACUAAAGCUCUAUCCAAUAUCUUUCAAAUUCUGAAAUUUAUACCACUCAAAUUAGACCAGGUAACUUCUGACCACUAAAGCCAAUAACUAAGAGACCACAAGCCUCAAUAGAUUGACAAGUAGUGGUAGUAAAGCCAUGGUGGUUUUUCUUAUCCACUUCAUUUUAGUAGUCGUAACAUUACUCCUCUGGUUUCGUGUAACUAGAGUUUUAUUACUAUCUCCCACUUUUUAUAAUUUGAUUGUCAUAUUCUUUUUGUAGUUACUUUUGAGAAUGUUUGCUCAUAUUUUCUAUAGUAUUUUACUGUGGUUUCUGCAAUUUUGUUAUUUCCUUUUUCGGGUUGCUUUGAACUAUUUUUUUCUUGAGUCGGGUGUCUUUUGGAAGAAUCCUUUCUACCUCUUAGCUAGGGGUAUGGUCUGGGUACACCUACUCUACCUAGACCCCACUUUGUGGGCUUACACUGGGUAAGUUAUUGUUGUGAUGUGCAAUGUACUACUACUUGUGUUAAAGAUGAUAGUUGGAAGCUGACAUUGACAUAACUAUGGUGUCUGAGCCAACUUACAUGGACCUCAAUUAGUUUCUUAGGGUAAGUCUACCUUAACAAGUAGCUUUGACAUUUGGACUUUUAAAUUAUGCAUAUGAAGUUUAAAGUGCCUGCCAACAUGAUCCAUGCUCUUAGUUGUGAUUCCAAUUCUGCCAGUUUCUUUAUGGGGAGUUAUCUAAGGUACAAGUAGCGACUUAUGAGAUUUCACUGGGGUUGCUGUUAUUGUUGUUGUAGUAGCGACUUUAUCUAAGUCGAGGGGAAUUUUAGAAUAGCUUUUUCGCGACACUAUGGGAAUUUUAGAAUUUUCACUGGAAGACAUAAAUGCAAGCUUUUACCUUGUCAGAUGUAAUGCUGUUCUGAACAAAGCUACACACAAACAAGGGGAGAAGUAGGCUAAGAUGACCAAAUUAUAUAAUGGAAUAUGCUUGUUCUUAGUAUUAAUCUGUGUAAUCUGGGCGCCCAUGCUGGUAAGUGGUUUGUGAACUGAUCUUCAGAUAUUUGUGGUAUACAAUUUGCAACUCUAAGAUUUUCAUUCAGAAGUAUACAGUAGUAGUUUUCAUUAAACAGAUUACAUAUUCUAAAGAACAUUAUCAUGUCUUUAUUAAAUCAUUAUACCACUGAAAUGGAAUAAAGAAAAUAUGGGAAUUAGCAAAUCCAAAUCAGUGCUUGCAUGCUUGGCUAGUGUGUGAGUAUUAUAUCUACAAUUCCCCUCAAUAUCACCGAACAAAUAGUAGACUUCUCCUCACAUUUUUUCUUUCUUUUGUCGGACAUUGGAGAAGUUCAUGCAUAUGUUUCACGUCAGUCCUACACAACAAAGAGUUUUCGUAACUGCAUUGGGAAGUUCCCUUUACUACUUCACUUUAGAAUCUGUUUUAUAUCUUUAAAAUUAGGAGAUUUACUAAUAUUAUAUGGGAUAUUCUAAAUGAUUUUAUCAUAAUAAUUAGGAAUCUUAAUUAUCAGGAAACUUCUCAUUUUGUGUAUUAACAACCAAUUUUUUUGGUGUUUUCUCUCUUCUUUUUUCUUUUCUCCUUUUCCACAUGAUAUCAAAGCCUCUAAAUCUUGGUAAAGACUUGUGUAGCUUCCCCCUACUGUGUGCCACUGAUGCUUGUAUCAAGGUAGGCUGCCUAUACCACACCCUUGAGGUAAGUCCUCCCUCGGACCCAACAUGAAUGAAGGAUGCUUUGUGCCCGAGGCUUCCAUUUUAUCAUCUGCACCUCUUUUUGAGUGAUUGUCCUUGCUAUCCUAUGGCGCUCUAGUGAUUGUUUUGGCGGCAUUAUGUCUCUAUUCUACCAUUCUGAUGGAAUUACAGCUCUUACUUGUAUAGAUGAUCAUGCCAUUUUAGUUAUACAGUGUUAUAGAAUCACUUCUUAUCAUCUUAUAUAUGUUAUCUUAGAUGAGUAUCUUGCCUAUUUAUUUAUCAGCUUUUUUGUAUAAUUUUAUUCUCUAAGAAUCUUGUAUAUUCAGUAAAGUUAUCUAUUUCAAAAAAAAAAAAGAAAAAAUCCUGUACAUACAGUACAAUUACUGCUUCUUAAUUAUAGUAAACCAGAGUCAUUCUGCACUAACUAAAGAUUGACAUUAGAUUCUUUUAUUUGUAAAAUUACAUACCAUUUUAUUUUGGAAGCAGGUAGAUGGAACAUACACAUAUAACUCAGAAACUUUAGUUCCCAAAGUAUUUUCACUGGUCUGGUACUUUGAAAUCACUUUUAUGGUUGGAAUAAAAUCCAUUGUUCUAACUAUGCUUGCUUUAUAUUUGGCAACAAUUCUCUCAUGCAAGUUUGUUGAUUGCUUAGUUGCAUCUCGAUAAUUGAAUCCACCUUUGCAGGUUUGGUUCAUGGCUGAGUUCUCUUAUGUAUUUGUUAAUUUUGAUGAGUGACUUGUGCAGACAUUUGCGUAGGAGACUUCAAGCAACUGUUGAAUCAGUUCAAGAGCAAGAGCGGAACUUCAAUCUUACACUUCAAACAUCCAUCCAAGAAUGCUUCCUAGAAACUGCAGAAGGGAUUGUUGAUGUACAACCACUAUUUGAUAUAAUGGCAAUGAUGCUGGAGUAGUUGCAGCCUCUUGAAGUUGUUGCCAGGGCUAUAAUGGGAUCCUUGAUCAUUCUUGCUCAUAUGAUCUCAUUAGCAUAUGUUGUUACACGAUGUCAGUAGGUGUUCCCUGAGGAGCUAUUCGUUCAGCUACUGAAACUGACAUGCAUCCAGAUGUUGAAAUACGGAUUAGAGGACACCACAUCUUUUCUAUUCUCCUAGUCCUAAGUUCAAACCAUAUUAGACAUUACAUAGUCAACCAUACAAAGAGAUAGAAAGCCAACAGCUCAUCUAUAUUUGUGUCAAUUCCGUCUCUACUUGAGAAGCUUCGGAAGGAAAAGGAUGGAAUUAAGUUAAAGGAUGGGUAUAGUAUUCAAGAUAGAGAGACAAUGGUUAGGAGGAACACAAGCAGGGUUGGGCCCUACAAAAUUCACCAAAGUUUAAAAAAUUUAGUAUUGUGAUUGAUUGCAGGGUUGUAUCAGUUGGUAAAUUGAAUGAUGGUGUAAGAACAUUAUGGAUUCCAGUGAUGUCACGUUCUUAUUCUA